rnacentral:rRNA from 1 species
CCUACGGGAGGCAGCAGUGAGGAAUAUUGGUCAAUGGCCGCAGGGCUGAACCAGCCAAGUCGCGUGAGGGAUGACGGUCCUAUGGAUUGUAAACCUCUUUUGUCAGGGAGCAAAGGGCGCCACGUGUGGCGCUUUGCGAGUACCUGAAGAAAAAGCAUCGGCUAACUCCGUGCCAGCAGCCGCGGUAAUACGGAGGAUGCGAGCGUUAUCCGGAUUUAUUGGGUUUAAAGGGUGCGAGGGCGGAAUGUCAAGUCAGCGGUAAAAUUUCGGGGCUCAACCCCGUCGUGCCGUUGAAACUGGCGUUCUUGAGUGAGCGAGAGGUAUGCGGAAUGCGUGGUGUAGCGGUGAAAUGCAUAGAUAUCACGCAGAACUCCGAUUGCGAAGGCAGCAUACCGGCGCUCAACUGACGCUCAUGCACGAAAGCGUGGGUAUCGAACAGGAUUAGAUACCCUUGUAGUC